AGGAAGGGCUCGGGUUUUAAAAGAAAAAGGUGAAGAAAACAAGUGAGUCCCACGAGAGAUCCGCCCAUUUGGGAGAGAAAUGAAGAGGAGAGGGCCUUGUGAAGCUUCCACUCGAGAGGAGAGGAAAGAUUGAGAGGAAAGAAAGAAAGAGAAACGGCUUGAAAAAAAGAAGAAAAGAGAAAACUGAGAGGUUUUCCUCCCUACCCACACACCAUUGUUGAAGUUUAAAGAGAUUUUGAUAGUUUGGCUUGGAGAUUUCAAGCAAAAGAAUACCGUGUGGGUGCCAAGAAAAACAUGCAUGUUGGUGAUUCGCAAGGAAUGUGAAAUUACACUACCAAGGAGCUUGAGAUUUCUUGGUUUUAGAUCAAGAUAAAUUAUUGAGGAAAGGAAACGUAAAUGAGGAAAAUUACGAUGGUGGCGUGCCAGACGAGGUAACGGGUGAUUGGCAAGUAGAAUUAGCUAGAUACGCAUCCAAGUUAAUAGCGAUGUAGUAUCCCGCUAUUG